UACGGAGGGUGCAAGCGUUAUCCGGAUUCACUGGGUUUAAAGGGUGCGUAGGAGGGCAGGUAAGUCAGUGGUGAAAUCUCCAAGCUUAACUUGGAAACUGCCGUUGAUACUAUCUGUCUUGAAUAUUGUGGAGGUGAGCGGAAUAUGUCAUGUAGCGGUGAAAUGCUUAGAUAUGACAUGGAACACCAAUUGCGAAGGCAGCUCACUACUCAAUCAUUGACUCUGAGGCACGAAAGCGUGGGGAUCAAACAGG
rnacentral:rRNA from 1 species